rnacentral:rRNA from 1 species
GAUGAACGCUGGCGGCGUGCUUAACACAUGCAAGUCGAACGAUGAAGCUCAGCUUGCUGGGUGGAUUAGUGGCGAACGGGUGAGUAACACGUGAGUAACCUGCCCUUAACUCUGGGAUAAGCCUGGGAAACUAGGUCUAAUACCGGAUAGGAGCGCCUACCGCAUGGUGGGUGUUGGAAAGAUUUAUCGGUUUUGGAUGGACUCGCGGCCUAUCAGCUUGUUGGUGAGGUAAUGGCUCACCAAGGCGACGACGGGUAGCCGGCCUGAGAGGGUGACCGGCCACACGGGGACUGAGACACGGCCCAGACUCCUACGGGAGGCAGCAGUGGGGAAUAUUGCACAAUGGGCGAAAGCCUGAUGCAGCGACGCCGCGUGAGGGAUGACGGCCUUCGGGUUGUAAACCUCUUUCAGUAGGGAAGAAGCGAAAGUGACGGUACCUGCAGAAGAAGCACCGGCUAACUACGUG